UACGUAGGGUGCAAGCGUUUGUCCGGAAUUAUUGGGCGUAAAGAGCUCGUAGGCGGCUUGUCGCGUCGGCUGUGAAAACCUGGGGCUCAACCCCGGGCCUGCAGCCGAUACGGGCAAGCUAGAAUUCGGUAGGGGAGACUGGAAUUCCUGGUGUAGCGGUGAAAUGCGCAGAUAUCAGGAGGAACACCUAUUGCGAAGGCAGCUCGCUGGGACGUAACUGACGCUGAGACGCGAAAGCGUGGGGAGCAAACAGG
rnacentral:rRNA from 1 species